rnacentral:rRNA from 1 species
UACGGAGGAUCCGCGCGUUAUCCGGAUUUAUUGGGUUUAAAGGGUGCGUAGGCGGCCUAUUAAGUCAGGGGUGAAAGACGGUAGCUUAACUAUCGCAGUGCCUUUGAUACUGAUAGGCUUGAAUGUACUUGAGGUAGGCGGAAUGUGACAAGUAGCGGUGAAAUGCAUAGAUAUGUCACAGAACACCAAUUGCGAAGGCAGCUUACUAAAGUAUGAUUGACGCUGAGGCACGAAAGCGUGGGGAUCAAACAGG